rnacentral:rRNA from 1 species
AUGCCCCGCCCCUGCUCGCCGAGCCCUGCCUCUCUGGAUCUUCAGCAAUGUACGCUGCCAUUGACCUGCACUUUUCAGAAAUCUUAUGUUCAAAGUGUAGUGAUCAGGGAGGUCGCUUCUGGCAUGUUCCGCAAGUUCAAAACGAAGAAGAUCUCUGUUUGCACAGCCCUUCAGGGGAACAAAUGGAUUUCUGCACUCCGUCAGGUCAACACCACCGAGUUAGUUCAUGAAUCCAUCAAAUUAUGGUUGUUGAUCAGAGAGGUGCAAAUACCACAGGCCAAGAUGUCGUCUCCUGGUGUUGGACAACAGAUGGAAUGUAUAUGA